GCCUCUCGCAUUUCUCAACCUUUGGCCCUCCAUCACUACUCUCACCAUCAUUCCCAGCAUGGUUGCCCCGUCACCACUACUAUCAUCACUCUCACCGUCGCCCACCACCAACCUCAACCCACCCGCUUCCUAUUAAAUUUUCACUCUCUCAUUCUUAGAAAUUUUCUUCAUCGUCUCUUGCCACUUGUUGUCGCUAUCCCUUUUGCUAGCCUUGAACCCAGCCAAUCACAUCAUAGAAAUUAACAAGGCUAUAAAGAUCCAGUCUGACGACCAAAAAAAUUCAAGAUCGAGAUCCAUAUCCUUCAUAAAUGCCUCGCAGUUUAGUGAAUCUGGCGACGAUUAAUAUGCCUUAAAGCUGCGACAUAGUUUCUCUGUACGAAGAAGAGGUGAACGAAGCUCUGACUAUGUGGGCUCUGUGUAAAGAAGAGGUGCAUCAUUGCAUCUCUGGUCGUGCGUGUCUGUGUUGUUUGUUGGAAAUGGAUGUGAUGGUGUAGUGGAGGUAGAGGUGAUGGUGAUUAUUAGUGAAGGAGGUGGUGAUGGUGGUCAGGUAGUAGUGACAUUUGAGUGGUGGCAGAGGUGGAAGUGACGGUGAAUUUGAGGUGGUGGUGUUGCGAUAACAGUGGAGUUUGAGUGAUGAUGCCAUUGAUGGUGGAGUAGUGAGUGGGACAAAGUGCAUUUGUGACUAAUUAUUUAGGUAAAUCGUCAUCAAUAUAAUUAGGAAUUUGUGAUUAAAGAAAUAUGCGAUUUGUAAAAAAAUUUCCUAUUGUGAC
rnacentral:lncRNA from 1 species